rnacentral:misc_RNA from 1 species
GUAGGGUUCGUGAUCCCCUUCCUCCUUGCAUGCUCCAUUUUACUAACUUAAAUCUAGUGAACCUGCGGAAGGAUCAUUAAAGAGUAAGGGUCUUCUAGGCCCGACCUCCAACCCCCUGAAUACAUACCUCUGUUGCUUUGGCGGGCCCGUUGGGGAGACCCACCGCCGGCCUUGGCUGGUGAGUGCCCGUCAGAGACCGCCUAAAAUUCUGUUUAUCGGUGACGUCUGAGUACCAUGCAAUGGUUAAAAC